rnacentral:rRNA from 1 species
GGUUAAGCGACUAAGCGUACACGGUGGAUGCCCUGGCAGUCAGAGGCGAUGAAGGACGUGCUAAUCUGCGAUAAGCGUCGGUAAGGUGAUAUGAACCGUUAUAACCGGCGAUUUCCGAAUGGGGAAACCCAGUGUGUUUCGACACACUAUCAUUAACUGAAUCCAUAGGUUAAUGAGGCGAACCGGGGGAACUGAAACAUCUAAGUACCCCGAGGAAAAGAAAUCAACCGAGAUUCCCCCAGUAGCGGCGAGCGAACGGGGAGGAGCCCAGAGCCUGAAUCAGUGUGUGUGUUAGUGGAAGCGUCUGGAAAGGCGCGCGAUACAGGGUGACAGCCCCGUACACAAAAAUGCACAUGCUGUGAGCUCGAUGAGUAGGGCGGGACACGUGGUAUCCUGUCUGAAUAUGGGGGGACCAUCCUCCAAGGCUAAAUACUCCUGACUGACCGAUAGUGAACCAGUACCGUGAGGGAAAGGCGAAAAGAACCCCGGCGAGGGGAGUGAAAAAGAACCUGAAACCGUGUACGUACAAGCAGUGGGAGCACAGAGCAAUCUGUGUGACUGCGUACCUUUUGUAUAAUGGGUCAGCGACUUAUAUUCUGUAGCAAGGUUAACCGAAUAGGGGAGCCGAAGGGAAACCGAGUCUUAACUGGGCGUUAAGUUGCAGGGUAUAGACCCGAAACCCGGUGAUCUAGCCAUGGGCAGGUUGAAGGUUGGGUAACACUAACUGGAGGACCGAACCGACUAAUGUUGAAAAAUUAGCGGAUGACUUGUGGCUGGGGGUGAAAGGCCAAUCAAACCGGGAGAUAGCUGGUUCUCCCCGAAAGCUAUUUAGGUAGCGCCUCGUGAAUUCAUCUCCGGGGGUAGAGCACUGUUUCGGCAAGGGGGUCAUCCCGACUUACCAACCCGAUGCAAACUGCGAAUACCGGAGAAUGUUAUCACGGGAGACACACGGCGGGUGCUAACGUCCGUCGUGAAGAGGGAAACAACCCAGACCGCCAGCUAAGGUCCCAAAGUCAUGGUUAAGUGGGAAACGAUGUGGGAAGGCCCAGACAGCCAGGAUGUUGGCUUAGAAGCAGCCAUCAUUUAAAGAAAGCGUAAUAGCUCACUGGUCGAGUCGGCCUGCGCGGAAGAUGUAACGGGGCUAAACCAUGCACCGAAGCUGCGGCAGCGACGCUGAUGCGUUGUUGGGUAGGGGAGCGUUCUGUAAGCCUGCGAAGGUGUGCUGUGAGGCAUGCUGGAGGUAUCAGAAGUGCGAAUGCUGACAUAAGUAACGAUAAAGCGGGUGAAAAGCCCGCUCGCCGGAAGACCAAGGGUUCCUGUCCAACGUUAAUCGGGGCAGGGUGAGUCGACCCCUAAGGCGAGGCCGAAAGGCGUAGUCGAUGGGAAACAGGUUAAUAUUCCUGUACUUGGUGUUACUGCGAAGGGGGGACGGAGAAGGCUAUGUUGGCCGGGCGACGGUUGUCCCGGUUUAAGCGUGUAGGCUGGUUUUCCAGGCAAAUCCGGAAAAUCAAGGCUGAGGCGUGAUGACGAGGCACUACGGUGCUGAAGCAACAAAUGCCCUGCUUCCAGGAAAAGCCUCUAAGCAUCAGGUAACAUCAAAUCGUACCCCAAACCGACACAGGUGGUCAGGUAGAGAAUACCAAGGCGCUUGAGAGAACUCGGGUGAAGGAACUAGGCAAAAUGGUGCCGUAACUUCGGGAGAAGG